CCCGUCCUCCUGCAUCUAGGGCGACCGCCGCCAUCGACUCCACGCCAUCCUGCAUCGUGGGCGGCCGCCGCCACACGCGAAUCGGCCCGGUCCUGCAUCGCCGGCACCAGGUGGUAUGUGAUUUGAAGCAAAAGGUGUUGCUGUGUCGUCUUCCGAAGGUGGUUCUCUUCCCAACGUGUGAUGAUUCUGGUACAUGGAUGUGGCGAUGUUCUGAUAAGAUUUUAGGCUUAGCUCUGAAACACAAAACACAUUUGCUUAUUUGGAAUGUCAGUUACAUAGUUCAGUGUCAAUUCUUCUCUGUAAUAUGAUACCUACAAACAAAAAAGGGUUUUUAUCUGAUGCAAUGGUUGUCUGAAACUCUGAA